GGCUGGUUUGGUAGAACAGAGGUGUGUUUACUCAAAUCUCUCUCAAGCCCUAACUCUACACUCUUAGAUCUCUCUGCAACCCUAACUUUAACUCUCCACUCUCCUUCUCUAUUUUCACUUUCAUAUACAGAACCACUUCCGAAUCUUAUGGUUUCAUCAUCCUCUUCACUUUCCCUUCAUUUUUAACCGAUUAAAACCACUUUUCUACUGAUUAAAACCCUUUCUGCCAUUUGUUCUUCGAUUUCCACCGAUUAAACCUCCAUUUGCGCCGGUUAAACACUUUUGUACCGAUCAAUCUUGUGUUUGAACCGAUUAAUCGGUUCAUUUUAUGUUUCUCCCCAUUUUUAGGGUUCCUUCGGUCCAGAUUAGGGUUCUUUCUCCAUUUUGGAGCUUUCCCGCAAUCGUUCUGGCUUCUAUUCAUUCGUUUAGGGUUUUUUAACAUUUUCUUCCAAUCAUUCUCCGUUUCGCUCUCGAUCUCGAGUUCGUCUCAUUAUUUCGCUGCGUUUUCUCAUCAAGGAAGCUUCGAAGGAGUUCGAGUCGAGUCCGCAUCGGUCUUUUGGUCAUCUCCUUUGAGGCUCUUUCGUCAAGUGGCCGCAAAAUCAAUCACACCCGACGACGUUUCAGCGCUCCUUCGAGCCUGCUACUCUUUUGAAACCCAAAGAAGAGGUUGGAUUGAAGACUGAAGGUGCUGUAGGGAUUGUUUUGAACCAAAAGCAGGAAGUGGUGACAAAAUCUGCUGUGGAGAUUCUAAACGAUCAACAUAGAAAUUCGGCUCCUGUUGCACGCUUGGCAAUGACGCGUAGGGUGCGUCCUCUCGUUUCAUGAAAGUGGGGUUGAUCAAUUAGUAGAGAUAAUCAAGGUGUGGAGGCUAUAGUAAAAAGGAACCUGGUGAAGUACUGACACUUCAGAAGCGAGUGUUAGCAGUGCUAAAUGAGGCAAGGAAUAAUUUGGAUGGUAAGAUUUUUAAGAAAGGGGAUUAUGCGAUAGCAGCAACGAGGGCGGUUUAUUAUGUUAACCUUGUCAAUCACAGUAGUGCCUCAAAGUGAAACAAGGGCCAAGCUGAGAAAUAAUUUAAAGUAGAAGUACAAGCUAUUGGUCGAGUGCGACACAAAAAUCUUGUGCUUGCAUUAAAGGAUUUGCAUUCCCUGCAUGGGUUGAAAUAGACACGUGGAAAGCUUGGUCUUGGUGCAAAGAUGGUAUUGAUUGAGGAGAAAUAGGUCCAGGGACUAAAUAGGAAGUUGAAGUACGGGCUUGCUUUGUACAUGUGGUGGAGAAAAUGCAAGAGCUAAUAAGUAAAAGUCAGGAAGACAGGUUAUUAAGGAAACAAUUGAUUCCAAUAUUACAAUAGAAUACAAGUCAAACACAGUUGAUGAUUUACAUAUGAGGAAGCCAGAUAUUAGCAAAGCGAAGGAACUGCUGAUUUAGCAACACAAAAUCCCACUUAAUGAUGAAAUUGGAUUCUGAAUAAAGAUGAAGACUAUUUCCAAUGAGGAGCAUUGGUGUCUUAAAGAUAUUAUCGUUUUCAUGAUGUUACAAGGUGAAGAACUUAAAGACUUUGUUGAUGUAAACACUUAGAAAUUUUCUUGUGUUUAGAAAGUUUGCGCCAAUAAUCAAUUAUUUGGUGUAUAAUCGAUUAUCACGAGCAUAUUUGAAAAAGAUAUGCUCAUGCAAAUAAUCGAUUAUCUUUGUCUGAUUCAGUAUUGCCCAGGUCGCGCAAAUAAUCGAUUGUUCCUCAAGAUAAUCGAUUAUCUCUUUUUGAAAACCCCAUAACAGACACAAAUAAUCGAUUAUCAUAAUAAAUUAUAUUUGGCAGUUGGGAGUUGUCUUUUCAUUUUCAGAGCCUUGGCUUAUAAAUAUAAGUCUUUACAACUCUUAGAAAGUAUAUUUUCAAUUUGAGAGUAUUAGAGUUGUCUGCCUAAGGGAAGCUCUUUGAGAGUGAAAAAGAAUCUAAGCCACUUGAAAAUACAGAAACCCUCUGAGGAAGUUUUCAAGUGUUAGAGGUACUCAAAUCAAGUCUUGUGAAAAGGAGAAACUUGCGCUUAAUGGAUCUAAGGUCGAAGCGUUCCUCUUCAAGUUCAUUGAGCAGAUUCUUUAGUUCAUUAAUCCAAGGAAGGUGGUUUUUGUUCUUAUUUUUUAUUCCAUUCUAUUGUAAUCUAUGAAUAAUAUUUUAUUGAAGCUACAUGUGGUAUGGUUAUGAGCCUGUAUGGGGAAGCUACAUGUGGUAUGGUGAAGCUACAGGUGGUAUGAUUGAGUACAAGAGACAGACCAAUGUCCUUCAUGAUGAUGUUGGGAAUUUGUAGUGACUUUGUGUUUAAAGACGAUGUUGAUAAGGAUACCGUUGAUGGUAUAGUAAUGAUAUAAUUAAUGAGAAUGUUGGUGAUGAUCAUGUUGUAGAAAUGAUUUUGUUAGUAGGAUAGAGUUGUAGACAAUUAAUUGUUAUUAAGUUGAGUUGUUUCUUAUGUACAAAUUUUAUUGUUAUUGGUUAUGUUAUGGUAGCUUAUCCAUAUUUGUUUGUUCUUGUGGUUAUGUGUGUGUUUUGUGAUGAUUGUAGGACCUUUGAUUAUACGAGAGCAUGAGAUGUAUCAGAUGCUUGAUAAAUAUGCUAGAAUGAGGAGCAGCUUUGGGUUUA